GAUGAACGCUGGCGGCGUGCCUAAUACAUGCAAGUCGAGCGAAUGGAUUAAGAGCUUGCUCUUAUGAAGUUAGCGGCGGACGGGUGAGUAACACGUGGGUAACCUGCCCAUAAGACUGGGAUAACUCCGGGAAACCGGGGCUAAUACCGGAUAACAUUUUGAACCGCAUGGUUCGAAAUUGAACGGCGGCUUCGGCUGUCACUUAUGGAUGGAUCCGCGUAGCAUUAGCUAGUUGGUGAGGUAACGGGUCACCAAGGCAACGACGCGUAGCCGACCUGAGAGGGUGAUCGGCCACACUGGGACUGAGACACGGCCCAGACUCAUGCGGGAGGCACCAGUAGGGAAUCUUCCGCAAUGGACGAAAGUCUGACGGAGCAACGCCGCGUGAGUGAUGAAGGCUUUCGGGUCGUAAAACUCUGUUGUUAGGGAAGAACAAGUGCUAGUUGAAUAAGCUGGCACCUUGACGGUACCUAACCAGAAAGCCACGGCUAACUACGUGCCAGCCGCCGCGGUAA
rnacentral:rRNA from 1 species